UGCGCGCCUACCAUGCAAGUCGGGCGGUAACACGGGAGCUUGCUCCUGGGUGACGAGCGGCGGACGGGUGAGUAAUGUCUGGGAAACUGCCUGAUGGAGGGGGAUAACUACUGGAAACGGUAGCUAAUACCGCAUAACGUCGCAAGACCAAAGAGGGGGACCUUCGGGCCUCUUGCCAUCAGAUGUGCCCAGAUGGGAUUAGCUAGUAGGUGGGGUAACGGCUCACCUAGGCGACGAUCCCUAGCUGGUCUGAGAGGAUGACCAGCCACACUGGAACUGAGACACGGUCCAGACUCCUACGGGAGGCAGCAGUGGGGAAUAUUGCACAAUGGGCGCAAGCCUGAUGCAGCCAUGCCGCGUGUAUGAAGAAGGCCUUCGGGUUGUAAAGACUUUCAGCGGGGAGGAAGGUGUUGUGGUUAAUAACCACAGCAAUUGACGUUACCCGCAGAAGAAGCACCGGCUAACUCCGUGCCAGCAGCCGCGGUAAUACGGAGGGUGCAAGCGUUAAUCGGAAUUACUGGGCGUAAAGCGCACGCAGGCGGUCUGUCAAGUCGGAUGUGAAAUCCCCGGGCUCAACCUGGGAACUGCAUUCGAAACUGGCAGGCUAGAGUCUUGUAGAGGGGGGUAGAAUUCCAGGUGUAGCGGUGAAAUGCGUAGAGAUCUGGAGGAAUACCGGUGGCGAAGGCGGCCCCCU
rnacentral:rRNA from 1 species